UACUAUCAUACAUAGCAACAUUUUUUUAAUGUAAACUGAAAACAAACUAGUUUUGUAGCAGCAAGGAAAAUAGAAUUGUAGUACACCCUGGAGUAAUUGUUUUACGAUUUUUUAUAUGUCUAGUAAAGUACACAUGUCUAGAAAUGAUGUGGAUGCAUUUAUGCAGUCGGGCAUUUAUUGCUGGCACCAAUCAGAGCAUACCAAAGGUGGAGGAGAGCCUAGAUGGCACCGAGUGCUUUUCAGAAGAUUCCAAGGACGACGUUAAUAAAAAGAAUGAUCGUUGUGUCGAAAUAAAUGGUAGUUCCCCACAGUUUGCAUUCCACAAAAUGCUGAACCGCCAAACGUUGACAAAAACCUACCACUUGCGGGCAGUAUAUAGGCCUCGAUUACGAAAGAUUUAUCUCUAUGGCUAUCCACUAUUUUACAACUGUGUUUCGACAAGUAUUCAGAACAAACAAUUUCGACGUUUGGACGCCAAUGAUCAUUUUCUGCACCAAGCACUCUCGGCGGAUGAUGUAAAUCAGUUGACAGAUCUACAUGAAUCCACACAUUUAUUGUAUAUAAAUAAACAUUCAGAAGGAAAUAAUGUUCGUACGCCAUGCAUUGCAGCUAACCAGCUAUCUGUGCAAUCAGAAAACUGGGUAGCUAGCGAUUUGCUUGAUGCCAGCGAGCUAGAAGUCUUCACUUCAUCUGAAAAUUCCCCUCUACAACCGGACAGUGUUAAUAACUUGAACGUUACGUGUAUAAAUAACGCAUGUGGCUUAUCCUUCGAUCACAAUGAGUGCAGAUGCUGUUUAUGCUUGAGAAGGAAAAACGCAAUUAAAUCAAGUGUUUCAAAGGCCAAACGUUUCAUCGAUGAGGCUGUGCAGUCUUUGCGUGCAUUACCAUCUUACCCAGCUUAUGCCUCUCAUUCCCGUAAAAGAAAGACGAACGUAUACCUUAUUAAUCUUGCUCAUCUGUUACUGGUAAUCACGUGCCUACGUGGAGUGUUUUAAAACAAAUGUGAGUCAAAGUCUAAAAAUGAUUUUUGCAAAAUUACUAUGUAUAGGCAAUGUUUAUCGUAAAAACGAAAAUGUUAAUUUCUGAAAUAUGAUAUGCAGGCAUGUGUAUUUCAUACCCUUCAAACCUCGUGUCAAGAUAAAUUUUAAUAAAUAAUUCUCUGAGUUAUCGAAAA